GGCAGCUUGAAAUGCUUUUCUUCUAAAUGGUGCUUUGCUCUAGGAAGAUUUUCAGUCACCGAUUAUGACUCCUUUUGAAGCCAGAGUGAAUAAAGUUACUAAAUAAGAAGGCAAAACAGGGCAAGAUACUGAAUUGCUGUAGCUGAGGCACCUGUGAAUGGGUGGCCACGUCCAACACCUCCUCCUGCGUGAAGUCCUCUGAGACACAGGGAAAAGUUCCCAGUGCACAGCAUCACUCCUGCAUAGCAGUGCCUCCAGAGGAAUGGAGCUCACCAAUAAGCAGCUGGGUCACACUAAGGAGCAGAAAAGAAGUGAUGCUCAAGGCCUCACAGUCAUCAGGGCAUGAAACGUGUCUUGUUUAAUGCAGUGAGACUGGUACCCCAUGCAGCAACAUGAUUCUGAGGGUAUAUGAGCAACUGCAGCGAGUGUUUUUCUACCAGCACUGGUUUGUGUACCACACACUCAACCCAUGUGAUGCUCACAGCACACAACAAAUACUGAGCAGUGAUUUCCAACCUCACUCGUGUCAAGUGGUUCCCAUGGUGCUGCAUCAGUCUAUGCAGCAUAUCAGCUUGGACCUUGAAUUAGCACAGCUGGGAGUCAUGGGGGCUGGUGCCUGUACUCAGCCCAGCAGUGCAACACAGCUGUGCUGCCAUUAAUCAGCAGCCGGCUCCAUGCAGAAGCAGUUCAAGUGCCUCUGUGCUGUGGUUGCCAGCAGUCUGCUUUCCGAGUUUAUCAUAUUUGGUACUUGAAGUACUUGCGGUUACUCUGUCUUCUGUUACUCUGAUGUUAAGUGUGGUGUUAAAAAAAAAAACCAUCCAAAAUACGACCUCAAAACAUCCCUUCUUGGCCAAGAAUAAUUUAAGAGCUCAGUCCUCAUUAAAUGCCCACAGUGGCUAUUUUAGAGUUGUGUUCCUUUCUAAAAUCCUUUGUGCUUCCAUACAAAAAAGCCUUUUUUGCCAGCAGCCUCCAUUGCCAGCUCUGUUGCAAGCUGGAAACCGACCUUUACAAAAGAUUAACACAAGUGAAGCAAGAGCUGCCAGCCAGCCCAGCAGUGCUACCACCUCUGUGAGACACAAACCAUCACGCUAAUUUAUGCAGUGGAAGAUCAAAAGGAGAUGUAUCCACACAUGGGCUAUUCAUGUGCAGCAAUUACUUUCUGAACUCCAAACGGAACCUUCCCUUGAGCCAAGCAGACAUAUACUUUCCUUCGCUGUGAGGAAGCAUUGUUGAAGACAGCUGGGGUCAUUUUGCAGAAAAUGAGCACUUUUAUCAAGAGGAGGCUGAGUUUAAAUCCCUCCCCCCAUGCACACAGUGACUAAUAUUUCACUUCAGACGUUGUCUCACAACGGAGAGAGGGCUCCAGAAGUGUGCUAAGCAUCAGUUAUAUUAGUGCCAUUGUGUUUUAUGAGAACCCAGCUUUUCCACACCUGAGCACACUUGUAAAGGUCAUCUUCAGUCCCAAUUAAGACUGCUGAGUCCAAAGCAUCAGCAUGGCCCCAGGAGACAAACCACCACUGACGACAAGGCACCACCCCUCCUUUAUGGCUUGCAUACAGCUCCAUGGACCCUUCCGCUGCUGCUGGCUUCCCACAGUGUCAAACAACAACAAUGACAAACAAACAAAAAAGAAACACCAGAACAACCAAAACAGACAUCAAAGUGGAGCAAAAAGGAAAAUCAGAGUAGUGGAAAAAGUUCUUCCCUUGUGAAAGACAGAGAUAUCAGCCCACACAGCUUAUACAACAGUGGGCUAAGGGUUUGAACAAAUUUUCUAAUACUCAGAUGAGAAGAAAACUUGGUUAAGCGGCUCUCAAACCUGUGGGAUAUAAUGAGCUACCAAGAAAGGAAGCAGGUGUGAAGAAUUUUCUUCCUAAAAUAAAAAGUAAUUCCAGCUUUUCUCCUCUGCGCUGUUUGCACCCAGGAGAGCUACCGCUAUCCUCUGCUGCACCUGGAGAAAAACUCAUCUUGAAUGCCAUUGUGACGGCAGCUCCAGAACUUGGGGAAUUUUUGGCUCCCAAAAACUGAAUACAAGGGCAGACAUGACUGCUUUGCUUGCUUUCCACGACUACGAGCUUCUGCAGUCAGAGGGGGAGCAAGACUGACCCAGAUUUGAGAUCUUUCUAUUCAGUCUGGUCUGGGGACUAAGUCUUCCACUUGCACCUGAGAGCUGGGACUUCACAACAAAAGUGUUUAGAACUGAAGAUUCCCUCAGGUUUACCUCUGUUACCAAAUCUGGGAGCACUCCAGAGCGAUGUGACUUGAAUCAGAACAGGAACCAAACGUGAACUGGCCUCCUUCGUCUCCUCCACUCAGGUACCCACAGGCAUAAAGAUCAGCUUCAGUUUAAAUAGCUUAAAGGUAGGUUCUCCCCGACUUUCAGCAAUAGGAGAUGUCUGAAAAAUAUGUAACGUAGGUAGCAUAUGAUACAUGCAAGCUUCUCAGAUUCCAGAAUGAGUGGACCUUUCCAAGGUUAUGUAAAGAAAAGAGGCAGACAGAUGAAAUGGUAAAGGCAAAUGUACUUCCCCUGUUUAGUAUUCCUCCAAGCUGGAACUGGAUCAUCCAAGAUAUUCACACAAGCCCCACAACUUCCCUUCUGACCAUGAAGAUUUAGUUGCCACUGAAGGUCAGCCUAAUUUGACAUGACAAAUUCCGUGCCUGAAUGCCUUCUACUGAAGGCACAUCAUCCCUUCUACUGAAACAGCCCUCCUUUUUUUUCCCUAAAACACAGCACUCAGCUCAAAAUGGAGCAAUCUGCGCUAGGGUUGUGGCCAGCUCCAGUGAAUACUGUGUUAAAUGGGAUCAGCCAGGGUCCAAUGCAGACACGAUAUCCAAACCUUAGCCUGAAUCAGGGUUAAUUUAGAUUCCCCAGUCACCAUAAGGAAAGGAAGCCAUACAAUCUCCUGUCAAUAUAAACUUGGAAAUGCUGCCCAUGCAGCUCCAGAUUUCACAUUCCUGCCACACUGUGUCCUAUAGUGUUGUACUGUCAGAGAUCAUGGGGAAAAUCCUUGAGGCCAGAGGUCAGAAGACACCUUCCAACCUACGGCUGCAGCUUCAGGCAGCCUGCCAGCAAAUGCUUGCUUAUUUAAUGGGGCUUCUUUAUUUUUCAUUUUAAAAGGCAUCAUCCAGACACAUUUUCCUCUGCAGAUGUUUUAUCUGGAUAACGUAUUUCUGCAGGAAGUUUUUAUUUUUCUUUCCUUGUGCAUCUAUUCAUUGGCGGUGUAAAGCUUGCAAAGUUUUUAACGUUUAUUUUGUUCUUACGUGAUCCGUAAGCACAUUAUUUUGACACAAAAUAAAUGUUCCAGUUCAGAGUGCACAUAGCCUAAGGACAGAUCACAGACACAGAACGCGCCACAGAAAUACACCAGGGAUGGGUAUCGUUCACUGUUUGGUUAGCAACAACCAUUUUAGAUGGAAAUGAAGAAAACUUCCCGCUGUGCCACUUCCAGAUGCACCUACUACAAAUUGAUUUCUGGGUUCAGGCUGCAGUUCUCAACCAAAGGUACGGGUGCUGCUCCAAAGCGGUGGUGAAGAUGUCCUGCAUGGUGCACAGAGGAUGGGAAGGCUCAUAUCAGACUCCACGCAGAGCUUUGUCCUUGCCCACACAAAGCCAGCCUGCAUCCAGCUGGACACCGCUGGACACAGAUGGAGAGAGACGAAGCCCAGUGCUCUUGCAUCUGAAAGUGAGGUCUGAAGACAGCUAAAUGAACCCCUGGCGGAGCCUGUGAGCAUGCGGACUGCAUCAUGCCCAGCACAGUGGGUUUUAAAAACAGGCUCUAGGGAACAGAAAAUAACAUUUGUUUUCUAGAUUGGAUUUAAAUAAGCGCUGUAGAACUAUUUUAGCAAAUAAAUAAGUAUGCAUUAAUGUGCUGGGUUGCUGCCUCAACUCUCAACUAUGACAACCUAUUAAAACACCUAAAUGUUUCAGGCAAGUCACGUUUUUAUCUGUGUGACUUAAAAGAGGAUUAUGAUGUGGCCAUAUUAUUUACGUAUUUUUCAGGCACGAUUAAGAAAAAGUAGUGAUUGAGAAGGUAUCCCAACAGGGACAGCUAGCAUUUAUGUGAUACGUGGGCUGAUUGGAGAUUUAAAAGUGCUGUUUGUUAUGCGGCAGCCAGUUAUGAAACAAAUGAUCUGGUUCCAACAUAAACUGUUAAACUGAAAACAUGCCAGAGGGAGACAGCUGUCAGUACAUUAAAAAGUCAUUUUCUCAGACAACAAAGACUUAAACCAAUCAUUUUAUAAACAUAUUUCUUUGCCCAACCAGAUUUCCGUAACUCUAAUGGUUCGUCUGCUGCAUGGAGAAAUAAAGUAAGUUUUUGCUCAUAUGAUUUGUCAGGAAUUCUUACUUGGAAAGAACAGAUGGUGCUGAAAAAUUGAACAAGG
ensembl:lncRNA